GAUAUUGAGGACGCGGUGCU
rnacentral:misc_RNA from 1 species